rnacentral:rRNA from 1 species
UAGGGAAUAUUGGACAAUGGGGGGAACCCUGAUCCAGCAAUGCCGCGUGUGUGAAGAAGGCCUGAGGGUUGUAAAGCACUUUCAGAGGGGAGGAGGACUAUUAGGUUAAGAGCUAGAUAGUUGGACGUUACCCUCAGAAGCAGCACCGGCUAACUCCGUGCCAGCAGCCGCGGUAAUACGGGGGUGCAAGCGUUAAUCGGAAUUACUGGGCGUAAAGCGUGCGCAGGCGGUUCUAUAAGACAGAUGUGAAAUCCCCGGGCUCAACCUGGGAACUGCAUCCAAAACUGGCAAGCUAGAGUAUGGUAGAGGGUGGUGGAAUUUCCUGUGUAGCGGUGAAAUGCGUAGAUAUAGGAAGAACACCAGUGGCGAAGGCGGCCAACUGGCUCGAUACUGACGCUGAGGUGCGAAAGCGUGGGGAGCAAACAGGAUUAGAUACCCCUGUAGUCCCUGAGCGGGCUGGCAAGGCGCAU